GCCUCAUAAACGAUCGAUAUUCCUUAAAUUCUUACUUCCUAUACAACGUGUAUCGUUGCCAUAAUCGUACAAUAAUUUGAGAUCUGAUAUUGUUCUACGAGAUCGUUUGGAUUUUAUAUUUUUGUCCCGCGUGGCCGCACUGUGCGUCGGGGACAAAAAGGCGAGAAGACGAGAAGACGGCGAAGGAAACAGUAAUUCUGUGCAGCAUCGUUCACCUUAGAUCCAGACGAAUGUCUCGAACUGAUCUCUACAGCAUGUUUGUGCGAUGACAUUAUGUACGACGAUAAAUCAUCCAGUUUCCUAUUUAGUUAAUUUCAACCGUUACGAUGCUACUUUUCGUACAUUGCGACACGUUUCCUGCGAUGUUUUAUGCUGUCCCUGAUUUCUAGACUUGCAUAGUUAUGUGUGGGAAAAUGGAAGAAUUAUCAGCAGAAUCAGCAAAACGAGAAGAAAUUUCAAGAUAAAUAUCGAGCCUUCGUUGGAUACAUCGCAAUUGUCAGGUUGACGUACAAAAAGACUAACCAAGAGGUGGUCAAUACACUGUGUAAUAUACUGUGCAAAGGAACAAAUGAUUGCUGUACACUUUUGCGUUCAUUAGGAGAAUCGCUUCGUGUCCCAACGAUUCGAAAGCGAACUAUACAAAUAAUGCUAAUGUUGGACGGUGUACUAACUACAUUACACACAAUAAUCAUUCGGUCCAGCUCCGCGCAGUCGUCACAAUCGCCGUGCUCGUUAGACGUAAGAAACGCGUGGAUGAAAAAACAUUGUUGCAAAGGAAAGAGGAUGAAGGGUGUUUCGAGACAUAAAAAUUCCUAAAGUGCAAUCCAUUUUCCCAAAAAUGAGCAAGAAACUUAUUGAACAAGAGGGCGAGGGUGCGGAGGGGUAGUAGGAUGUGUGCGAUCGCAUGUGUAAAAUUUUGAUUACGGGUAAUUAUUAGUUUCGGAAAUAUUAAUACGAGAACUAAUAGUAUUGUUACGAGCCGAGGGAUAAGGCAGUCGUGCGUGACCGAGGAUUCGUUCGAUCGAGAGGGAGAACGAGUUCGUUAGUUGCGGAGGAGCCGACGUUUGUUUCAUCGCCGGGACCCACGAGCGGAGGAAGGACUUGGUCGACAGGAACGGUCCUCGCUCUGUCAUCUAUCAUCCGAUUGGCACGAACUUAGGUGCAUUAGACGGACAAACGAUCGACCUUCCUAAGGAUGCUCAUCAGAUGUCGCCACUACUUGCCGAGAUAUGGCGCCAGUCUUAAAAAUUAAAUGUCUCACCGUGUAGAUUUAAGAGUAUGUAUUUCCCGACGAAGAAUAAAACGGUGACCCUUUUAUACCGUCAA